rnacentral:rRNA from 1 species
GACGUAGGGCGCGAGCGUUGUCCGGAUUUAUUGGGCGUAAAGAGCUCGUAGGCGGUUUGUCGCGUCUGCCGUGAAAGUCCGGGGCUCAACUCCGGAUCUGCGGUGGGUACGGGCAGACUAGAGUGAUGUAGGGGAGACUGGAAUUCCUGGUGUAGCGGUGGAAUGCGCAGAUAUCAGGAGGAACACCGGUGGCGAAGGCGGGUCUCUGGGCAGUAACUGACGCUGAGGAGCGAAAGCGUGGGGAGCGAACAGG